CCUCCAUCGUUUGGGCUCCCCUGAGCUUGCCUUGUGAUGAGAGGCAGCUGCCUUGUGAUGAAAACAAUGGAGCCUCCGCUGCUUCCACUUCAGAUGAGCUUAUGAAAUUUUAAUACACUAAAUGGCUUUGCCAGGGCAGGGCAGGGCAAGGCGCUGCCAGGAAUGGUGGCUGCAGAGAAGAGAGUGGGGGAGCAGCUGAGCCUUCAGCCGUGCUUUCUGCGGGCCCCUGGUGCAGGCAGGCAGGCGCACGCAGGGAGGAAGCAGGCGGGCUAGGAGGAGUGUCGCCCCAAGGCAAAGGCCUCUCCCAGGGGGACGGAACAGCCCAGGCUCCCUGCUCACCUGCACAGGCCAGUCCAUUUUUCUUCCAUGGGGGAACUACUCCGGCCGAGCUGAAUGAUCCUUGGGGUUCCCCGGCUGUCUCCCAUCCAGGCACUGACCAGACCUAGACCUGCUUAGCUUCAGCAAGGGGCCUUCAGACCACUACGCCAUGGGACAGCCCCCAAGGUACUUAUUGAGUUUUGGGAGAGAGGCCAUCUUAAUGGAAAGUGCAAAUCGCUGGAGUUGCUGGGGUCGCCAAGGCGUCUGGACCAAAUUGAGCCGAUAUAGCUCUCUUCCUUUUUUCCCUCUUCUGUUUUUCUUUCUUUCUUUCCCCUUCCUCUUCUUU